CCUUCACCCUAGAUAUGUGCCUCCGUUCCUCGACACUACAUUUAGAAAAAAAACUCAUCAUCACUCUCGAAACUCUUUAAGAGAAACUCUCACUCUCAUUUCUUCGAAUCGCGAUGACUCUGUCCGGCCAAACCUCCGACUGUCGUCUUUCACGUCCCGUCAAUUUGAAUCUGCCAGACCCACAAAAUGAAUCUCUGUCGACGAUUUUUAUUGACUCUUCCUCAUUUCAUAUCUCGUCUCUGCUCUCAAAUCCCAAGCUUUCCCUGGUUUUCACGGAGGUUCCCGGAUCUUUGAAAUCGACUUCAUUCACAGAGUCACCUCAGUUUAGACUGGAUUUGGGAUCAGGGAAACUUUUGGAGAAGUUGAAGAACAUGUCAAGAAGCUUGAAGAAGCAGUUGGCAUGUUUAAAGUGGAGAGCUAGAAGAAGAUAGGUCGAAGAUGAUGUUUGGCUUACAGAGAAAGCCACAGCCAAGCACACUCUUAGACCGAGCUCAUGAUGUACAACUUUAUUUCAGAGCGGAAGGUACUUGAAGAAAUGAGUUACUCUGCGACCAUUAGUGGGAACUACUUAGGCUUCAAUGAUGAAAUACAAAGUAAUUGAGAAUGUGCUACAAACCAUUUAUUAUGUAGCUGUUCAUUUUUUUCUUCUUCUAAUUAUGUUUUUUUUAGGAGGAUAAAGUAUUCUUAUUUUU